rnacentral:rRNA from 1 species
GACGAACGCUGGCGGCGUGCUUAACACAUGCGAGUCGAACGGAAAGGCCCUGCUUUUGUGGGGUGCUCGAGUGGCGAACGGGGGAGUAACACGUGAGUAACCUGCCCUUGACUUUGGGAUAACUUCAGGAAACUGGGGCUAAUACCGGAUAGGAGCUCCUGCUGCAUGGUGGGGGUUGGAAAGUUUCGGCGGUUGGGGAUGGACUCGCGGCUUAUCAGCUUGUUGGUGGGGUAGUGGCUUACCAAGGCUUUGACGGGUAGCCGGCCUGAGAGGGUGACCGGCCACAUUGGGACUGAGAUACGGCCCAGACUCCUACGGGAGGCAGCAGUGGGGAAUAUUGCACAAUGGGCGGACGCCUGAUGCAGCAACGCCGCGUGCGGGAUGACGGCCUUCGGGUUGUAAACCGCUUUCGCCUGUGACGAAGCGUGAGUGACGGUAAUGGGUAAAGAAGCACCGGCUAACUACGUG